rnacentral:rRNA from 1 species
UACGUAGGGUCCAAGCGUUAUCCGGAAUCACUGGGCGUAAAGCGUGCGUAGGUGGAUGCUUGCGUGAGAUGUUAAAGCGUGUGGCUCAACCAUAUCGAUGCAUCUCAUACGGGGCGUCUAGAGGACGGCAGAGGCAAGUGGAAUUGGCAGUGUAGCAGUGAAAUGCGUAGAUAUUGCCAGGAACACCAAUGGCGAAGGCAGCUUGCUGGGCCACUCCUGACACUGAGGUACGAAAGCGUGGGGAGCGAACAGG